GUUGUCAUUCGGAGCUCUACAUGUCAGAGUGACGUCCUGUCCAGACUCAGCUGUGAUAGUUUUCUGCUCUGAAAGAGGAAACAAUUCAGAGCAGAGAGGUUAUUGAAUUAUUUGUAUUAUUUUAAUGUAUUGCAUUAUUGAUCUUUUGUGGUUACCUUAUUGCUAUGCUGAGUGACUGUGCAUUUUCACUAAUCAAGAAUCCUAAUUAUUAAUGACUUUACUAGGAGGCUUUGUCUUUUACACAUGGGAUCAGUUAAUGAGUGUGCCUAUGAUACUGAGUUAUCCAGAGGCAAUAAGGUGGAGUUGCCGGGCCUCCAGAGGUGGAGAGACAAACAUGAAGACACCGACAAACAGCAAAGCCGAUGCAGUUACAGCAGACAUUUCCAUGUUGUCCAGACACUCGUCCAAACUCAACACUUCUCAACGUCUCUGAAGGAAGUCACAUCAGAGUGACGAGGCUGGACAGCAGGAAGAUCAGAAAGUGCGUCAUCAUUAAAGAGCAGAACAGGUUC
ensembl:lncRNA